rnacentral:sRNA from 1 species
UUGCAUUAGGGGUUGCAGCGCAAAUCCUUUUUUGAGGUUUUUCGCCGAAAAAAAGAUUGCAGCGAAAAACCCGACCCGCC